rnacentral:rRNA from 1 species
GAUGAACGCUGGCGGCGUGCCUAAUACAUGCAAGUCGAGCGAACGGACGAGAAGCUUGCUUUUCUGAUGUUAGCGGCGGACGGGUGGGUAACACGUGGAUAACCUACCUAUAAGACUGGGAUAACUUCGGGAAACCGGAGCUAAUACCGGAUAAUAUUUUGAACCGCAUGGUUCAAAAGUGAAAGACGGUCUUGCUGUCACUUAUAGAUGGAUCCGCGCUGCAUUAGCUAGUUGGUAAGGUAACGGCUUACCAAGGCAACGAUGCAUAGCCGACCUGAGAGGGUGAUCGGCCACACUGGAACUGAGAUACGGUCCAGACUCCUACGGGAGGCAGCAGUAGGGAAUCUUCCGCAAUGGGCGAAAGCCUGACGGAGCAACGCCGCGUGAGUGAUGAAGGUCUUCGGAUCGUAAAACUCUGUUAUUAGGGAAGAACACAUGUGUAAGUAACUGUGCACAUCUUGACGGUACCUAAUCAGAAAGCCACGGCUAACUACGUG